rnacentral:rRNA from 1 species
UACAGAGGUGCCGAGCGUUAGGCGGAAUCACUGGGCUUAAAGCGCGCGUAGGUGGGCGUCUAAGUGUCCGCGUGAAAUCCCACGGCUCAACCGUGGAACGGCCGGGCAGACUGGACGCCUUGAGGCGCCCAGGGGCGAGCGGAACAAGUGGUGGAGCGGUGAAAUGCGUAGAUAUCACUUGGAACGCCGGCGGUGAAAACGGCUCGCUGGGGGCGUUCUGACACUGAGGCGCGAAAGCCAGGGGAGCGAACGGGAUUAGAUACCCCGGUAGUCCUGGCCCUAAACGAUGUCCACUGGGUCGCGGCGGCUCUGACGCCGGCGCGGCCGGAGCAAAAGUGUUAAGUGGACCGCCUGGGAAGUACGGUCGCAAGGCUAAA